UCCGCGAUAGCUCAGUUGGUAGAGCAAGUGACUGUUAAUCACUGGGUCGCAGGUUCGAGUCCUGCUCGAGGAGCCA
rnacentral:tRNA from 1 species